rnacentral:rRNA from 1 species
CCUACGGGAGGCAGCAGUGGGGAAUAUUGCGCAAUGGGCGAAAGCCUGACGCAGCGACGCCGCGUGAGGGAUGAAGGUCUUCGGAUCGUAAACCUCUGUCAGGAGGGAAGAAGUGGUUAUAUGCGAAUAGUGUAUGACUUUGACGGUACCUCCAAAGGAAGCACCGGCUAACUCCGUGCCAGCAGCCGCGGUAAUACGGAGGGUGCGAGCGUUAAUCGGAAUCACUGGGCGUAAAGCGCGCGUAGGCGGCUUUUCAAGUCAGGGGUGAAAUCCCACGGCCCAACCGUGGAACUGCCUUUGAAACUGUAGAGCUUGAGUGUCGGAGAGGGUGGCGGAAUUCCAGGUGUAGGAGUGAAAUCCGUAGAGAUCAAGAGGAAUACUCAUUGCGAAGGCGACCUGCUAGAACAUAACUGACGCUGAUGCGCGAAAGCGUGGGGAGCAAACAGGAUUAGAUACCCCGGUAGUC